ACGGAGGAUGCGAGCGUUAUCCGGAUUUAUUGGGUUUAAAGGGUGCGUAGGCGGCCUGUUAAGUCAGCGGUGAAAUCUAGGAGCUUAACUCCUAAAUUGCCAUUGAUACUGGCGGGCUUGAGUGUAGAUGAGGUAGGCGGAAUGCGUGGUGUAGCGGUGGAAUGCAUAGAUAUCACGCAGAACUCCGAUUGCGAAGGCAGCUUACUAAGGUACAACUGACGCUGAAGCACGAAAGCGUGGGUAUCAAACAG
rnacentral:rRNA from 1 species